GUGAGGAAUAUUGGUCAAUGGGCGCAAGCCUGAACCAGCCAUGCCGCGUGCAGGAAGACGGUCCUAUGGAUUGUAAACUGCUUUUAUUUGGGAAUAAACUCCGGUACGUGUACCGGCCUGAAGGUACCAAAUGAAUAAGCACCGGCUAACUCCGUGCCAGCAGCCGCGGUAAUACGGAGGGUGCAAGCGUUAUCCGGAAUCAUUGGGUUUAAAGGGUCCGCAGGCGGUCUUAUAAGUCAGUGGUGAAAGCCUACAGCUCAACUGUAGAACUGCCAUUGAUACUGUAGGACUUGAAUUCGAUCGAAGUGGGCGGAAUGUGACAUGUAGCGGUGAAAUGCUUAGAUAUGUCACAGAACACCGAUAGCGAAGGCAGCUCACUAGGUCUGGAUUGACGCUCAGGGACGAAAGCGUGGGGAGCAAACAGGAUUAGAAACCCGAGUAGUCC
rnacentral:rRNA from 1 species